CAGCGGCAGAGACCUCUGCAAAUCACAAUC
rnacentral:piRNA from 1 species